GACGAACGCUGGCGGCGUGCCUAAUACAUGCAAGUCGAACGAGAGCGACCGGUGCUUGCACUGGUCAAUCUAGUGGCGAACGGGUGAGUAACACGUGGGUAACCUGCCCAUCAGAGGGGGAUAACAUCCGGAAACGGAUGCUAAAACCGCAUAGGUCUUCGAGCCGCAUGGCUUGAAGAGGAAAAGAGGCGCAAGCUUCUGCUGAUGGAUGGACCCGCGGUGCAUUAGCUAGUUGGUGAGGUAACGGCUCACCAAGGCCGUGAUGCAUAGCCGACCUGAGAGGGUGAUCGGCCACAUUGGGACUGAGACACGGCCCAAACUCCUACGGGAGGCAGCAGUAGGGAAUCUUCCGCAAUGGACGCAAGUCUGACGGAGCAACGCCGCGUGAGUGAAGAAGGUUUUCGGAUCGUAAAACUCUGUUGUUAGAGAAGAACAAGUGCUAGAGUAACUGUUA
rnacentral:rRNA from 1 species